CACACCACAAUCCAAAGACAAUUUCCUACAAUGUUUUGAGGAGUGGAACCAUCAGCAAGUGACAGAACAGCUUCUUCAGGAGGUCUCUUUGAAGGGGCUGACACUUGUUGAAUAUCCUGAGGUGCUUAUUUUGAAAAACCACCUCUGCUGCAUGAUCAUCACAUUUUCCCUUCUCUUUCUCAACCCUGGAAGGCUCUAAACGUUUUCCUUCACCAGCCUUCAUCGGUCCUCCUCCUCCAUCCCUGCCAUCCCCUGGCCCAACUGUCCUCAGCCCAACUCUCUUCCCUGCCUGCAAUUAGGCAAAUGCCCAAGUUGCUGAAUCUUCAAAAUCUGUCUUUGAUUGAAAGGUAGGCAGUGAUGGGGGACUCUAAUGGAUCCUGGAAAACUGUCUCAGCAGUUCUUACUCCCAAAAGGCCCUUCUCUGGUUUUUAGGGCAAGGUGUCUGUCUUAACCAAACAUUUCAGAAGGUCCCAGAGACUCAUUCCCGCUAGGCAUGGCACCAGAACCCUUCCUGCCUUGGUGGGGGUGGGAGGCUGGAGACCUGCUCUCCAGAGGCCCAUGUUGCCAGGUGUUGUCAACCACCUACACUUCAAACAUUGGACAGACACUACAGACAGCCUUCUUUUAACACCACCCUCCAUCUUUUCCCAACUUUAUAGUUUUUAAAUUACUCUUUCAUGAGUUGUUGGACUCUUCUCCACUGUUUUACAGAUGAGGAAACUGAGCCUCAGAGAAGUAAAGUGAAACAUCCAAAUUGAAAACGUUAGCAAGUUAAAGGUCACUGUCAGAUCUCUUGAUUCCCCAUCUCAUUUUUUUGUUUUUAAUUUUUUAGGUCACGCCAUGUGGCAUGAGGGAUCUUAGUUCCCCUACCAGGGAUCAAACCCGUGCCCCCUGCAUUGGAAGCACAGAAUCGUAACCACUGGACCACCUGGGAAGUCCCUCAUGCUUUUUUCAAUGCAACAGAAAUUGCUCACACCUGGCGUAACUCCUCAUUCAAAUAGUUAUUUCCCUUAAGAGCCAAGGGUCUCUUUCUCAGAGACCCUCAGAAACUCAGACAUAAUGCUCAUCCAUCAAUAAACGCAACCUGCCCACAUCCAAGCACACAGACCUACAGACCCAGUUCUAAGGCUAUGCCCUCUGCCCCAAGGUGUCUCUCUCAUAGAAUCCCCUCCCCACUGGCUGCUUAGAGUCAGCGAAGGAGGUGUGUCUUUAGACAGAGGAGCAGAAUCUGUCUCUGACUCCUCCAAGAAGGGGUCCUGGAAGAAGCCCCUUCCUCAGCGUUUGUUCUAGAAGUCCCACCCCCGCCCCUCCCCUACCUGCCAAGAGCUGCAUCCAGGCGCAGAUCUUGUAGACCGUGGCCGUGUUGCAGAAGAAGAAAAGAGCAAAGCAGGUGAUGCAGCCGAGGAUCAGCACCAUGGAGAGCAGCACGAAGAAGGCGGCCGCCUUGAAGGCGCCGGACGGGAUAGUGCUGAAGUCGGUGAACGAGCCGCGGCAGAUGGAGAACAGAGGCCAAAGAGAGGGAUUGACUUGUACAAAGAGAGAAAAACAUCCUUCCUUCCUACAAAUGUUAUGAGGAUCAAGAGAGAGAAUGCACGGAAAAGAGCUUUGUAAACUGAAAAUGGCUUUAUAAAUAAAGGAAGUCUGAGAACUCGCCACAGGAAGAACAGAACAGAACAGUUGUGAGCUCAAGUUGGGAACUUUAGACCAUAAGGCAAAGAUGAUCCUGGACCUGGAUGAGAGAAGCCCCCAGGGCACUUCCAGCCAACAUCCUAGCAGAGAAAGUACACGGGCCUCUCACCGCCACGGCCCCUCCUGCUGCAGAGCACAGGCUUCAGACGCGCAGGACCAGCGGCCAUGGCCCACGGGCCCAGCCACUCUGCGGCAUGCGGGAUCCUCCCAGACCGGGGCACGAACCCGCGUCCCCUGCACCGGCAGGUGGACUCCCAACCACUGCGCCACCAGGGAAGCCCAUUUAAUGAAAAUUUUUGUUCAUUGAGCUCAAAUAAAAUCAGACAUGGAGCCUACUGUUGAUUGAACCAAACCAGCACUGUCUUAUCAGCUACAAGAGGGCUUUUUCAUUUUUCCUAUUUGCUUGACAGUUCAAUGAAGUUAUUAAAAUAAAACCUAAAUUUUCUUUA